UGGAGCGUGUGGUUUAAUUCGAUGCUACACGAAGAACCUUACCUGGGAUUGGCAUGGAGGUGGUAGGGAAGCGAAAGCAGACCGACUCUUCGGAGAGCCUUCACAGGUGCUGCAUGGCUGUCGCCAGCUCGUGCCGUGAGGUGUCGGGUUAAGUCCCGUAACGAGCGCAACCCUUGCCCUUAGUUACAAGUGUCUAGGGGGACUGCCGGCGGGAAGCCGGAGGAAGGUGGGGAUGACGUCAAGUCAGCAUGGCCUUUAUAUCUUGGGCA
rnacentral:rRNA from 1 species